UAAACAUUGAUACAUUAUUACAUCUAUCAAUCCGCCCGGGUACUACAAGCACUAGCUUAAAACCCAAAGGACUUGGCGGUGCUUAAGAUCCCCCUAGAGGAGCCUGUUCUAGAACCGAUAAUCCACGUUUAACCUCACCCUUUCUUGUUUCUCCCGCCUAUAUACCGCCGUCGUCAGCUUACCCUGUGAAGGUCCAAUAGUGAGCAAAAAUGGCACAGCCCAAAACGUCAGGUCGAGGUGUAGCGCAUGAAAGGGAAAGAAAUGGGCUACAUUCUCUAAAAUAGAAGCACACGGACAAUAUAUUGAAACAUAUAUUUUAAGGAGGAUUUAGCAGUAAGUAGAAAUUAGAAUAUUCCACUGAACUCGGCUCUAAAGCGCGCACACACCGCCCGUCACUCUCCCCAAGACUAAAAAAUUUUACACUUAAUAAUAAGUACUACCAGCAAAGGGGAGGCAAGUCGUAACAUGGUAAGUGUACCGGAAGGUGUACUUGGGUAAAU
rnacentral:rRNA from 1 species